rnacentral:rRNA from 1 species
CCUAAUGUAGGAUGCCUCUCCUCCGGGAGGGGGGACCUAUGUCUUCAUAACAUCUUCGUGUAGAAAGUCUUUGAAUGUUUACUAUCAUCGAGUCGCGACUUCUAGGAGACGCGAUUCUUUGAGAUAAAAGUUAUUACAACUUUCAGCAACGGGUCUCUUGGCUCUCGCAUCGAUGAAGAACGCAGCGAAAAGCGAUAUGUAAUGUGAAUUGCAGAUCUACAGUGAAUCAUCGAAUCUUUGAACGCACCUUGCGCUCCUCGGUGUUCCGAGGAGCAUGCCUGUUUGAGUGUCAGUAAAUUCUCAACCCCUCUCGAUUAGCUUCGAGAGGGCGUUUGGAUAGUGGAGGUUGCCGGAGACUUGGAUUCGUCCGAGACUCGGGCUCUUCUGAAAUGCAUCGGCUUGCGGUCGACUUUCGACUAUGUGCGACAAGGCUUUCGGCGUGAUAAUGAUCGCCGUUCGCUGAAGCGCAUGACUGAACGUCCCGUGCCUCUAAUACGUCGACCGCUUAUUAUCUCUCCGGAGAGAACAGGGUCUUCCUAAUUGACUUUUGACCUCAAAUCAGGUAGGACUACCCGCUGAACUUAAGCAUAUCAAUAA